AUUGAACGCUGGCGGCAGGCCUAACACAUGCAAGUCGAACGAGUGGCGGACGGGUGAGUAAUGUCUGGGAAACUGCCCGAUGGAGGGGGAUACCUACUGUAAACGGUAGCUAAUACCGCAUACCAUCUGAUGUGCCCAGCUGGGAUUAGCUUGUAGGUGCGGUAACGGCUCACCUAGGCGACGAUCCCUACCUGGUCUGAGAGGAUGACCAGCCACACUGGAACUGAGACACGGGCCAGAGUCCUACGGGAGGCAGCAGUGGGGAAUAUUGCACAAGGGGCGAAAGCCGGAUGCAGCCAUGCCGCGUGUAUGAAGAAGGCCUUCGGGUUGUAAAGUACUUUCAGCGGGGAGGCGUUACCCGAAGAAGAAGCACCGGCUAACUCCGUGCCAGCAGCCGCGGUAAUAC
rnacentral:rRNA from 1 species